GUGGUCCUGGAGAUCAAGUUGUUUCCCGGGGUAUUACUCGGGGGGAGGCAAAGUUACAAUUCAGGAAUUGGAAAGACAUCAAUAAAACUUUAAAGGCUAUUACUUUGAACUCUGGCGCUCACUUGUACUCAGUGAGGACACACUCUCACCUUCAACAGGUCGUAGUGUGAAGAUCGCGAACAACAGUAUCCACAUCUUCCAGGCUUCCGGAGUCCCCAUGGUCUGGUUCCACAAGAGAUUCACUUUGACACAAGAGCUGAACGCGGCACAAAGUUAAGCUGCAACGAGGAGUAGGUCUAGAACAGGCAGGGCAGCAAAGGGCUAGAAUGUAGAGUCUGUGGAAAUGGCAGAGGAUUAAAGAGAGACUUGCGAAACUUGCCUAAAGUUGCAAAACUUGAAGUUUUGUAAUUGAAGGAGAGGAGGCCCCGGGAGGUCAGUGACUCUGUAAAAGGGCCGGCAGCCUGUGGGUGUGGGUGUUUGUCUACAUGUUUGUUAUCUUCUCUGUGUUAGUUACUUUAUCUGCAGUUACAUAGGGUAUAUAUCUGUGGAUCAUCUGCGAGUGUUUGUUAAUCGGUCUGAUUUUCUGGGAGUUUAUUGUGUGGCAAUACGUAUAAUUGUCUUUGGCUCACAUUCUAUUUAAGUGAAUGUGUGCCUGCUGGUUCCUUCCCUGAAGAAAGACUAAAAACAGCCCUGCAGCUGGUGCAACACUUUCAAACUCCCCGGGAAACAAUCUCAUGGAGUUUAGUCUGAUACUGUACUUGGUUUGGAAAGAGAAAUGUGACAGCUAAGGAGGGGAAACAGACGACAAAUUUGGCAACAGAAAAAUAAAUAAAUUGAGAUGGAUCAGUAUGAGGUAGAGACUUGGGAAGAAGACACUGAAUACAUUACAGGCUUUUUUUAAGAGAUCAGAUUGCAAAAAAAGGGAUCAAAACUUAUUUUAAAGGAUCAACUGCUCAAGGAAAUUGUUCAAGGAUGAUGCUGCACAGACAGACAAUAUCUCUGAUGACUCAGAUGAUAACUGGUCACUUGGGGGAAGUUUCCACAGGAUAAGAAACUUCCACACAGCGAGUCCCAGUAUAAGUUACUACCUCCAGCAAAAAGGAUGAAAGCAAGAAAAGAAAAUAAAGGAAUUCCAUCUCCAACUCCACCCGGGACAGCAUGGCUGCCUCUCAGCGCCAGGGAUCUGAGUUCAAUUCCACCUGCGGCUGACUGUCUGUGUUGAGCACAUUCUCCACAUAUCUGCAACGGUUUCCUCUGGGUGCACCAGUUUCCUCCCACAGCCCAACGAUCUGCAGGUUAGGUGGAUUGCCAUGCUAAAUUGCCCACAGUGUCUAGGGAUAGGUAGGUUACAUAGUAAUGCAGGGUUAAAGGAUAGGGGAGGGGAUUUGGGUUUGGGUGUGAUUCUGUUCAGAGGGUUGUGAGGACUCGAUGGGCCAAAUGGCCUCUUUCCACACUGUAGGGAUUUUAUGAUUCUAAUCCCUGAUUCAAGCGGUAACUCCUAUUUAAUCCUGAGUUGAAGUUCCAACCUCAUAACCCCUGCAUCAGAAAGACUACCUUUACCAAUGUUGUAUUCUUAUCUAUCUCCAACUCUUCCUUGGGCCAUCAGUUGUUAAAAACCUUUUCCAUUGUUUGUUGCCUCCAGACUUGAAUAUUCUAGCACUUUCCAGGCUUUUCUCCCAUCUUUCACAAAUAUACAUUUGAGCUCAACCAAAUCCCAUUUGUCUAUCUCCCCUAUGCUCUAUAACCUCUAUUUUCUGCUGGACCACUAACACCUCUCACCUUUGUAUCUGUACUCCCUAUUUCUUGUGCUCCUCCAGUCCUACAACAUUGCAUUCCUGCAACUUGUUUAGUACACCCUUGUUUAAAUUGGCAGCCACGCCUUCAGCUGUCUAGGCCGUAAAUUCUGGAAUUCCCUCUCCAAAUGUUUCAAUUUUCCUCUCUCUCUCUUCCUUUAUGGUGUUGUUUGAAGGGUAUUUUUCACAUUUACUAUCACGUCUCCUUGUCUCAGUGUGAAACAUGUGACUGUCCUCUAUAUCUCAAUGGGGCAAGGUGAGAAAACAGGGCCCAGGAGCUCCCUCAGUCAGCAUGUGAAUUGACUUUAAACAGAAAUUGCUGGAAAACCUCAGCAGGUACGGCAGUAUCAAUGGAGAGAAAACAAGGUCAACUUUUCAGGUCCAGUGACUCUUCAGUGCACCCAGAGAUCCAGGAUUUUGAUCCUGCAACAUAGAUGGAACAGCCAUAUAGUUCCAAGUUAGGAUAGUAACUGGUUUGGAUGGGAACUUUUUGGAGAUGGUGUUCCCAUAUAUCGACUGCCUUUGCCCUUCUAGAUGUGGUUGUGGGUUUAGGAAAUGCUAUCUAAAUGUCUUAGAGAAUUUCUGCAGGACAUCUUGUAGAUUGUAAACAAUACUAAGUACUGAGCAUGAGUGGUAGAGGGAGGGAAUGUUUGUGAAUAUGAUGCUAAUCAAGUGAGCUGCUUUACCCUGGAUGUUUCAAGGUUCUUGAAUGUUGUUGGAGCUGCACUCAUUCCAUCACACUCCUGACUUGUGCCUUGUAGAUGGUGGUCAGACUUCGGGGAGUCAGGAGUUUCCACCCUCUGACUUGCCCUUUUGGCUCUGCAGUAUUUAUACAUUUUCUUAUUCAUCAUGGGAUGAGAGCAUCGCUGGAUAGGUCAACAUUUAUUGCUCAUUCCUAAUUGUCCAGAGGACAUUGCUUUAGGUCUGAGUCGCAUGCAGGCCAGACCAGGUAAGGAUGGCAGAUUACUUCCCAAAAGGGCAUUAGUGAACCUGAUGGAGUUGGUCCUGUUAAGUUUCCAGUUAAUGGCAUCCCCCAAAGCGUCGAUGGUGGGAGAUUCAGCAGUGGUAAUGUCAUUGAAUAUCAAGGGGAGAUUGUUAAGUCCUCGCUCGUUAAAGAUGUUCUUUGCCUGAUACUUCCUGACACAAAUGUUACAUGCCACAGCUGAAUGUUGUCCAGGUCAUGCUGUGUGUGAGAGUGGACAGCUUCAUUUUCUGAAACGACUAAAGACUACAAUUAUUGCAAUGUUGUCCUUAUAAUGAAGGGAAGGUCACUUCAAGUGUCAUCAGAAUGAUGAAUCCUCUGACAGUGUAAGACUCCCUUGAUAUGGCAGGAAAGGGUCACCUAGGUUAUAGAUUUGUUUUCCUAUUCGUUUAUGGAAUAUGGACAUCGCUGGCUGGCCAGUAUUUCUCGCCCAUUCCUUGUUGCCCUUGAGAAAGAGGUGAUGAGCUGCCUUCUUGAACUGCUGCAGUCCUCCUGCUGUAGGUUGACCAACAAUGUCACUAGGGAUGAAGUUCCAGGAAUUUGAUCCAGUGACAGUGAAGGAAUUGUGAUAUAUCUCCAAGUCAGGAUGCGGAGUGGCUUGGAGGGGAACUUAGAGGUGGAGGUAUAUGCUUGAUUUGUUUGCUCAGAUAUUCGAGUGAGUUGUGUGUUUGGAUAGCUUGGUGAGUUAAAAAAUAAUAAUUGAUCUUCCUUAUAUUAUGGGACAGGGGAAUUUACAAUUCUGAUCUCUGUUCAGUUCUAAUAGUGUCUUGUAUUGUGGAUCUUAAACCUUUGUCGAAAUAUAAAAACUGUUAGUUGUGGAAAGAGAUUGCUCCAAGUAUGAAAUGUACAUAUCUAGAUGCUAACUGCAAUCUCUGUUAUGCAUUUACUUGAAAAGUUAAACUCAAUCUCAUCCACAAAUUUUAUAUUAAAGGGAGAGUGACGCAUCUUCUGUUUCCAAUCUAUGAAAAAUGUAACUUUUUAUCCAAUAAUGUAAAAACAGUAUACUCUGAAAAACUUUGUCUCCGUCCAUGUCAUUUUAUACGUACAAACAAAUGAAUCAGCAACAGGAGUAGGCCAUUCAGCUCCUCGAGCCUGUUCCUCCAUUCAAUAAGAUCCUGGUUGAUCUGAUUGUUACUGAAAUACAUAUUCCCCCUACCUCUGCUAACAAAUACCUCUCCACCUCUAUCUUAUAAAUAUUCGAGGACUUUACUUCCAUACCUUUUCAGGAAAAAAGUUCCAAAGACACUUAAUUCACACUUAUAAUGUUUAAAAGACAUUUGGAUAAGUAGAUGAAUAAGAAAUGUUUUGAGGGAUACAGGCUAAGCACAGGCGGGUGGGAGUAGUUCAGUUUGGGAUUAUGGUCAGCAUGGACUGGUUGGAUGGAAGGGCCUGUUUCCGUGCUGUAUGACUCUAUGACUCUAAGAGAACAAAAUAUGAAUCUCUGUUUUAAAUUAGCAAACCUGAUUAUUAAGCACUGAUCCCUAUUAGUAGAUCCAUCCAUUAGUGGAAACCUCCACUCCACAUCUGUUGUGUCAAGACCCUUAGGAUCUUAUACAAUUCAAUCAAGUCAUUUUGAACUUUUCUAAACACUAGCACUCAAUAUGUGUAAUCCUUUGCCACAGAAAAGAUUGAAUCUCUUUUGGUUUGAAAUUCCAUACAAUCAUUUAAAUUUACAGUUAAACAUAUCAUAAAUAUGAUUAUUUUUGCUCAUGAAACAAAGUCCUAAAUUAAUCAAUAAGAGUUUAUGUAAAAUCUUACCUCACAUAAACUGUCCGUUCAGCCCAAAAGAUCAACGCUGAUGCAAUUGUCUGACUUGAAUUGCCCCCAGUUUUACCUCAUUUCCCCAUAUCACCAUGUCUUUCUGUUCCUUUCUCUCUCGGAAGGUGUAACUUAAUGUUAGCUGUGGGAGCCUUGUAUGCUGUCUGGAGAAUUGACAGGAGUAUCACUUUGCGCCUUUUGAGAAAGACCGUUUUGGAUUAAUUGCUCAUCAGGAACUUAACUAACUAACAUUGGGCAUUCCCUGGUGUUUGGGAGCCCAAGGGGUAAGUCCCUCUUUCUGAGAGCUGCCAGUCAACUGGCAUCAAUAAGAAACCCAGGCUUCAAGUGAAUGACGUCAGGGUUGGAGGUCAUUAGUGAGGAAGGAGGGGCUUAAUACAAAGGGUUGAUGCGCUCUCAGCAGUGUCCUCCUUGGUGAUUCCAGGUCCAUCAACCUGCCAGUGAGUGCCAGUGAA